rnacentral:lncRNA from 1 species
AUUAUAAGGAAGCAUUUUGAGGGUUUUUAAAAAAUUCUAUCAUAUAGAGGUUUUUGCGCAAAGAUACAAUCUAUUUCUGUUCUCCACUAAGAGUUCGUUUAGCAUUAAGGCUCAUCUAAUGCUAAUAGGUAAAAUAAAAUUGGACUGUAUUUUUUAGUGGGAUAAUAGAAAAAUAUUAUAAUCGACUCAUUAUACGCAACCAGAUAUUAUCUACAAAAACAAACAUAAUAUUUUCCUUAUGUACUUUUCUUAUUGCAUAUAACACAACCUCUUCGUAAUUUCAAACAUAGCCUAAAUAGUUUCAUAACUAUUCUCUCUAUCCAUACACAACCUCUUCGUAACUUCAAAUAUAGCCUAAAUAGUUUCAUAACUAUUCUCUCUAUCCAUAGAGUAAAAAUGUACAGAUACCGCCUCAACUAUAGGCCACUCUAAAAGACUUCGUUUUGUCAAAUUUUUAAUCAGUACAUC